rnacentral:lncRNA from 1 species
CUAUGCCUAGAGCUCAACCGCUGCUGGCAAAGUAUAGGCCACGCCCUGAAAUGGUUAAGCUUCUUUGAGUUGUGAUCUGAGUGUUUGACAAUGUUUUCUUCUGCAACACCUAGACGACUGUGGAGAAACAAGUGAACAAGGAAACAGAGGAUGUCUCUCUGUACGUGUUUGUUUUAACUUUUAAUACUACUAUUUUAUCUCUUUUAACUUCGCUUUGUGUUGCUGCAAGAAAGUAUAAAAAAGCAAAGGGUUUACUCUAAUUUCUUGCUUUCUCCAAAGAUCCAGCAUUUUCAUGUGUGUAUCUAUUAUUUGUUAACCAAUGGUUCAGAAUUCAAUCGACGGAGAAGCAAAAUUUUGCCAAGCAUGAGAAAUUCCCAAAAUUCUGAUCAAAUUUAAAUUAUUUGUAAGAUGCUUUUGGUUGCAUGUUGUACUUUAGAGGGUCCUCGCGUUCUGUAAUUUAGAGCUUUCUUGCAUUCUAUAACUGCGAGGUAAGGUAAGCAAAACUUAAAUUUUGGUCAAGUUUAUCUGCUUUGAACAGGAGGUUGCCCACUGCAAAUAAGCACCCCUAUUGUACAAUUUUUCAAACAUCAUCAAAAUCUUGUUUUUGAGGUUUCAAAGCCGCUAAAUUGAACAUUAGCUCUGAAUCGGAUAAUAACAUUAGCUCUGAAUCGGAUAAUUAUGUUCAAUGGUGAUGUUUUGCUAAUAAUUACUGAUAGGGUGUUAAUUGUUAGUUAUUUUAUUGUUAAUUUUCCUAUUUGUCCUUGCCAAAUAUCGUUUUAAUGAUUAAUAUAUACUUAUAUUUGGGAUUUGGACCUAUUUACAGGAAGUGAAACUGAAAAGUGCUGGGUUGAAAGGGUAUUGGGUGGUAGUAUCCCACUUAGCAGCAGGUCCCCCCUAUAGGUACAUUUGUCCCACAUCGGGGUUGGGGUUGGGUUUGGGUUGGGAUAUAAGUCCCUGGGAUUGCCUCAAGAGUUGCCGGCUUUUGAGGUUAAUUCUGGGAUUAGGUUUAUAAAACAACAAAAGUCUGAUUCAGGCUGUUGAAAAAAAAAAAACUGAAAAGUGCUAAACAGAGGGAUCUUCUUAAAAAAAAUACUCCACACGUGGGAAGUUUCUAAAAGAAAAUACAAGCUGGACUCCCCGGGGUGAUACAAACGGAUCUCCUAUCUUUUUGCUGAUGAGGAGUUGAAUUGCACUAGGAAUCCUAUUAGUAGAGUUGUAAACGAGCCAAAUCGAAUCGAGUAUCUCAUGUUUGAGCUCUGUUCGAUAAGCGAUUCGAACAACGUUCGUGUUUGUUUGUUAAUUUUCGAACUCCAAACCUGUAUUCGUGUUCGACUCGUUAAGCAAAAUUCAUGUUUAAAUUCGAGUUCAUGUUCGGCUUGUUUAACAUAAACAAGCUGUUCGCGAACAUGUUCGAAAUGAUCGAAUCCAAAUUAUUUUAAGUCUUAAAUAUACAAAUCAUUAAUUAUUCUAAAAAAUAAUUAAAGCACUAAGUGACUAAAUUCUAUUAUUCAUUAACUAUAUAACUAAUAUUAACAUAAAAAUAACAAAUAAAACCCUCAAAUAUAAAAGUCCAACCAUAAAAUUAACCCUAAAAUUUGUCAAAUGAUAAUUAUGUCCAUGUUCGCGAACGUUCGUUAAAACUCGCGAACAUGCUCGUGUUCGCUCGAUUAUUAAUCGAACAAAAACAUUCGUUCGAACUCGGUUCGUUUAAGAUUUCGAGCGAGUCUUUUACAAACACGAACGUAUCGAAACGAAUCGAGUUACUAAACAGUUCGAUUCGUUAACAGCUCUACCUAUUAGUAAUAGGAAACGGAGAAAAGAAGGGACUUUAGGUAGUAGUUACUUCGUUCUUUUCGGCGGAUGUGCCAGACAGCCGAGACUUGCUUUUUUGUUCCUUUCUUCGUUCUUUUCCAUUAAUCUCGACUGGAGCAUAAUUUUUGUGCUCUUUGACUAUCCGAAAAAGAUGCCUCUGCAAUCAAUUAAAUUGCGUGAAAAUUUAUUUAUGCGACGUGGCUAAGUUUUUCAUCUAAUCAAGGAUCAAUUCAACGACGCAGUCCCUAAUAUUUGUGAGAUCUAAUUAGUUUUCAUGUGUUUCUUAAUUUGUUAAUAUUUGCACGUUGUCUAUUUGAAUUUCCAUGGGAUUAUUUUGUUACUUGGAUGUCAAGAGCCCGAUGUUUAAUAUGACUUAUUAAUCUCCUGCAAAAUUAGUCAAUUAAAUCUGUAAUUGUUUGAUCGAUUAAUAUUAGUGGCAACUAGCGUGUUUACACACUAGGGGAACGUGCAAUCUAAUUUAAAUAACCCUCGUAGCAUGUUACUGAUUGGGGUUAAGUUUUUCUAGAUCUUAAUGCAAUUGAAAAAUUAAUUCCUACGGUCGUACUUAGGAGUAUUUUCUGGUUAGGGGUAAUCAAUGGUCGUUCCUUAGUUAUCAAUAAAUUAAGAAAAAAUUGGUCGUUAGAGUUUGUCGGCGACUAUAACUAGUCUAUUAAUAAAUUAAGUGAACCUCUCUUGCAGCAAUGAUCGGGUAAGUGGAUUGUGUCUGAAUAGUUGUAUCCUUGGUUAGAAUUUAUCUAUUCUUGAUUUAAUUCCGGUUAUAUUUGUGCUAGUUAAUUAUUUAUUUUUAGUUGAAUUGUUGAAUUGUUUUUAGUUUUAUUCCGAUAAAAUCCCCCUUUACCAAUUGAAAUUUCAAAGAGAUAAAUAUUCCAAGUUCCUGAGGAGACGACCCCGCUUGCCACUGUCUACUAUUUAGUAAUUUUUGUCAACUAAUUAAUUCUGGUAUAUCGGAUUGAGUAAACUUUUCGGGAACAGGGUGAAUCAAGUAAUCCAUUGCACACCUAGAGUCCCUACUCCAGCAUCUAGAAUUAAUUAUUGACUGUUUUCAGUGAUAGUUAGAUUCUAUUUUUAUUAUUGUAAAGACUUGACAACCUGUCAAUUACUCCUUAGUUUGUCCAGUGCGCAUGUACGCAUAGUCCAUUCGACUCCCGUGGGAAACAGGUGUUACAAAUUUCAACCAAAGAUAAGUCAAAAAAAUAUUUGUCUGCGGAGCGGAACUCCAUUUUCAUAUAAAAAAAUGCUGAAAGCCGCCAUAUCUGGUUCAGUACUACCACUCUACCGGUUCCAUCUGACAGGUCACGACCGCAACGGGAAAAAAAAAACAAAAAAAAAAGCAAUAGAUAAACAAGGAUCUUUGUCAAUCGCAUCUUAUAAGAAAUUUUAACACAAGAUUUAGAUUGCAGGAUAGCAGCUGAUAUAAGAUGGCCUAAGCUGAAGGCGUCUCGAUCCCUUGAACCUAUAUCACUGAAACAGCAAGGAAUUGUUUAGAAUAUUACAUUGGAUAAGUAAGUGUAGGUACUCCUCCAAUACAAAGUUCGAAAUACCUAGUGUUCAAGUUUAUUUGAUUAUUUUAAUGAGUUUGUAAUUUUAUUUAAAUUUGACUUAUUUAUUUGUCGAACCAACCUUGUUUGAUUAUUUUAUCAAAUUUAAACGAGUUAUUUAUUGAAUCUGAAUGUUAUCAAAUAUAAAACGAUGUUUACUCUUAAUUUGACUAGUUAGCAAAUCAAACUAGAAUGAACUCUAACCAAACUGAACUCGAUUCAAAUAUCAAGCAGUUUGAUUUAUCUUUCAACCCUAUUUCGGAGUUGUUAUCCAUGUGUUUGAGAAUGUCAUCCUCCUGUGGCCCCUGGUCCGCAAGAGAAAAUAUGAAUUAAGGAAACAAAGGAUGCUUGUAUUGUGUUUUGGUUUUUCAAGUCCCGAACGAGAUGUUUUUUUGUUGCAGCAAAGGAGGAAAGUUUUAGAGAGCUUAGGAUAUUAUAAUAAAAUAGCAGUCAGGAGUAGCGAAGGAGGAAACAUAUGAUUCAGCCGAAAGGGGAACGAAAAGAAGAAGAAGUUAUGGUUUUAAUUUAUUUGAAGAAUUACCAUAUAUAUAUAUAUAUGUAUGUAUUUUAGGUAAAAGAAGAUUAUAUACUAGUAGUAGUUUGGAAAAAUAAGGAAUGCGAUCAUAACAAGUAAAUGCAAAAAAGUUUGCCGUAAACUCCUUUGAGCGUUUGUAGUUGUCAAAGCUCUUUGUCAGGCUGCCCCCAGUGGUUCGAAAAUGUGCUGAGGACCUGUUUUGAACUAAUUUGUUACAUGGAUGGAAACCAUAUGCAAACCAAAAGAUUAGAAAUUUUCAUGCUAUCCCUUGUUUCUACAUUUAAUAAUAAUAAUAAAAAAAAAGUGGAUGAGGCGUUGAUCUACAAAGUUGAGGUUUUAGAAUUUGGAAAUCUUGAAUUCAAUACUUAUCAAAGUGUGAGUCUCUAAACUUUGUGUUAGUAUUUAUCCCACCAUAUGUAUGUAGAUUAGUUGUAGUUCGAAAUAUUUGUAAUCUCUUAUAUUAGUCCUAUAGUUGUGGAUUUUACACAAUAUUAUCGAAGAAAAUAUUUAAAAAAGAAAAAAAAAAUGCAAUCUUAGUGCCCGAUAUGUAAAAUUGGUAACCACGAAACAAAUCUUGAUGAAUCCACGAAAUUUAAGCCUGAAACGUUUGUAAGCCGUUUGGGUAUGUGGUCAAAGAGCACGUCUUGGUGAAAAUUUAGCUAGACAAGUUGUGAGGUUGGCAUUGGGCUCACUCAUUCAAUGCUUUAAAUGGGAAAGACGUGGGAAAGAAUUGGUGGAAAUGAGCGAAGCUGCUGGGCUUACUAUGCCAAGAAUUCAACCGCUGCUGGCAAAGUAUAGGCCACGCCCAGAAAUAGUUAGCCUUCUUUCUGAGUUGUGAUCCUAGUGUUUUGGGAAUGUUCUUUGCCACCGGCACUGCACCACUGGGGAAUCGAGUGUACAAGGAAAACAGUCCGUGCCGUCCUGAUUCCACUGUAAUGUAAGCUGGUCAAAGCUACAGGCCGUUAUAUACGACGCUACUCCGAAGAAAGGAGAAAAAUAUAAGCAAAGCCUGGAGGCAGUAAAGGAUGGAUAUCAGUAGCAGAUCAUUGACAGAUAAGAUACAAAUAUUUACGAAUGAGAGGGCGUUUUGAAUCUUUAUUACUGAUACAUUCUUGAAAUAACAAUAAUGAAUUACUAGGUAAAUAGCCAUACUGCAUAAGUAUUAUUCCAACACUUUGGAUUUAACCUCGACCUCUAUGGGUGCUACAUACUGCUACCUCCUGCUUUUUCCCUUCCUGUAUUUACUUACCAAUCAAAUCAUCAAAAAGUUCCGGAAUCUCCCACCAAGUCCACCUCUUUCCUUACCCAUAAUUGGCCAUCUUCAUCUCAUCCAGAAACCACUCCACCGAGGACUAGCUAAGAUCUCCGAUAAAUAUGGUCCAAUACAGUUUCUUCAUUUUGGUUCUCGGCCUGUCCUGCUUGUAUCUUCACCCUCAGCUGCAGAAGAAUGCUUCACCAAGAAUGACAUAAUCUUCGCUAAUCGGCCAAGAUUUCUCGCCGGAAAACACCUUGGCUACAACUAUACAACUCUGGGAUGGGUCUCAUAUGGCCAACACUGGCGCAACUUGAGAAGAAUAGCUACUGUGGAGAUCUUAUCUGCUACCCGAAUUCAAGCUUACACGAGCAUCCGUGUUAACGAGGUCCAUUCAUUGAUCAAGUACCUUCUAAAGGCCUCUAAAGCUAGUGACUCUAGCACGGUUGAGAUGAAAUCGGCCUUCUUUGGGCUGAAACUUAACAUCAUGAUGAGGACGAUUGCAGGAAAGCGAUACUACGGCGAUGAUGCCCAGAACAAGGAGGAAGCCGCAAGGUUCAAAGAGAUAGUUAAAGAGACUUUUCAACUCAGUGGGGCGACAAACAUAGCAGAUUAUAUUCCAUUAUUGAAGUUUUUUGGGCAGCAGAAGCUUGAAACCAAGCUGAAGACUUUGCAGGCGAAGAGGGAUCAAUUCUUGCAAGAUUUGAUUGAAGAACACAGAAGAACCGUGAGGAGUUCUGACAGUGAGAAGGGCAACAAAACAAUGAUAGACGUUCUCUUGUCCCUCCAACAGACCGAGUCCGAAUACUACACAGAUGAGAUCGUCAAAGGCAUGAUUGUGGUAAGUAACUAUUUAAUCCGCUCGAUAUCUUAAUCCAUCUGUCUGUUAAGCAUACGGAAAUUCUGAUCUUUGUCCGGGAUCAGUCCCAUGAAGGAUUGAGUCUGAAAAUCUAAGUCAAAGCUAGUUUGAUUGCACUGGUACCAUCUCCGUGUUGCCUUGCAUUUUUUAUUGAGCUGUAAUGCUAUGUUUCCUACACGUAAUAAUUCUAGGCAUAAUUUCAGAAACCUCCCCUGAAAUUUCUAACAGUUUCACUGCCCUCCUCCGAGGUUUCUAAAAUAUCAGAAACCUCCCCUAUUAGGUUAUUGGGGUCCAUUUGUCACUUCAAUCAUGGAGAAAUGACUUAAUUACCCAUACAACUUAAGAGGUAUUUCCCAAUUAUGUUCACAUGAUUAGUUAAACUGUUAUUAACUAGAUUUAACAGAAAUGAUGACAAUUUAUAAGUUUUUUUAAAAAAUUUCUAAUAUGCCAUUACAAAAAGGGGGCCAUAUAUAGGCACCUUUUUAUGAUUGAUAAUUGAUGUAUGCGAGUAGAAGCAAUGAUUCAAACUUUAGUGUUUUUUGUGGAAUAAGAGAAAUAGAGCUUCUUUAGGUAUAUCUAAGGAUUUAGGAGAUUUGCUCUUAAAAUUUUCUCAAAAUUUUGGUGAUUGUGAAAAUUUCAAGAUCAGCCUCUAAGAUUUUUCUGCUAUUAAAUUUUGGAAAUUUUUAUUAUUUGAUUGCAGUUGUUAAGGUAAUUCUUGAUGGUCAUGCUUAAUAGUGACACUGCAAGUGAAAAAGAAUAGUUUGGAUCAAACAAAAAAAAAGAAAAUAUGACGUUAUGUAGUUUGUAUUAUGUUCUAUAUGAUCUGCUCCAUUUGAUGAUUGGUAUUUAAUUAUAGUGUUUUUUCUUUUUUAUCCUAAUUGUUACUUUUAUUUUCAUCAAAAUUAGGUACUGGUGUUGUAUGAAAUAUACAUAAAGAUUGUUGGUUAUACACUACUAAAUUGAAAAACCUUUUAAUUAUGAUAAUUUUUUUUUCUUGUUUGUGAUUAUUCAACAAAUGGGUUUUUUUUCAAAUCGAAAUGUUGGUUGUAGUAGGAUUCACAUGCUUUGCUUUACUUGGAGGAGAUUAUGCAAUUGAUGUAUUAUAACAGAUGUAAUAGUAUGAUAUCACAUAUGCAAUAUGUAGAUAAGAUUUUGAGUUGCUGAACUUGUUGUGGAGUUAGUAAACUGAUAUUUUGUUUACGCUCUAUAAAUACGGUAACAAUUACACCGUUUCACAUUUGAUAAAGUUAAAAUAGAUAUAUAUUGUUCGUAGUAAAUCAACUAUCUAAUGCAAAACUUGAGGGUAGCUAUGGAAUUAAAUUGUUUUCUCUCUUCUAAUACCAAUUUUAUAUUAUUUUUGUAUUUGAAUUGGGCUGAUUUAUUACUAGAUAAUUAGCUUUAGGGGUGGUUUCCGAUAUUUUGAAAAUUUCAGUGAAAUUGUCAGAAACUUGGGGGGGGGGGGGGGGAGUUUCUACAAUUAUCCCAUAAUUCUAUCUACCUCUAAUACUAUUUAUACUAAGAGUCACGAUAAAUGUUCUAACGUUAUCAUACACCUCCUCUUAUCCCUUCCUUUGUAUUUCUAUCUUAUUUCCAGAAUCAAGAUAAUAGUAUAAAAAAUUCAAUCCCAUUGUACUAUUGAAUCAUGACGUGCAGGAAAAAAGGAAGAAGUAAAGAUAAAACGAAUGAGUAGCACAGUAUUCACCUUUAAUCCAUGCUUUAGACUAGCAGAAAAUAAUGCAAAUUUUGUCAACAGCAAAUGUUAUCAGCAGGAACCGACACAUCAUCUGGAACAAUGGAAUGGGCACUCUCCCUCCUGCUCAACAAUCCACAAGUUCUAAAGAAAGCCCAGCAAGAAAUUGACGCGUACGCUGGCCAAUCAAGGCUUAUCAAAUGACUCGGACUUGGGUCAGCUGCCUUAUCUUCAUGCAAUUAUUAAUGAAACACUUCGCAUUUGCCCGGUGGCCCCUAUUCUGGUGCCUCAUGUGGCAUUAUUUGGUUCUGCUUUGCUGUCGUGAACUUGUGCAUUGAUUCUGUGCUUUAAUUUCUCGAGAUUUGUAGAAAUUUGCUAGUUUUCAACUGCAAGAUUUUGUUACUCCGGCGAUUUUAACUUUUGUGCUGGAAAAAAACACGCACUUCCAAACUCUAGGUACAAUAUUUUUUUUUUUAAAAAAAAAGGGUAGAUGACAGGUAAGCUAACUAGUGGCUUAGUGCCACUAUUGAAAUGUAAAAUCCUCCAACCCUACACUUUUCCGACCCACGCACCGCUCGCCCUGCCCCGAACCCAAGAAGAUUUGUACAAGAAAACAGAAAAAAACUUUGGUGGGCCUUGCCUCCCAAUAAUUUGCUACAAUUAAAUAUAGUAUUAUUUAAAAAAUUCAUGCAGGUGCUUAGUGCAUUCGUCUGAUUUGAUGGUGAUUCAGUCUUCUCCGAAUUAUUCUUGGACCUCUUCAGGUCCUACUCCUCCUUCAUAAUAUAGGAAGCUAUCAUAUUGACUAAAAAAAUACAGAAAAAUCUCAACUCAUUAACCUUAUUUAAUCUGAUUUGAAGCAUAAUUUUCUUGAAGAAGAGGGGCGGGGCCACACUGAUUGUAUUAUGUAUAGUAUAGUUCGUAAUGGUUUUAAUCUACUCACAACAAAUUCACUCUCCCAAACUCAAAAGUCAUCUUUGUCUAUAGAAUUUAGCCAACGAUUAUAAUUGCACAUUUUAAUAGGAAGUUUCAUAGGCUGGCUAUCAAUUGCAACUAUGGUUCAAAGUCGCGAUCGCGGUUUGGACCGUUCCACAUCGGUCUCGGCAUAUCAGUCGCGGUUUCGGCGAGACGCGAAUUUUUGAAAUAUUUAAUAUUCUAAAAAUUGUAAAAAAUAUGAUAAAUAAAAAUAAUAAAAAAUUAGUAAAAAUAAUAAAAAUUCAAGUUGACUCGGGAUGAUUCGGAGUGACUGGAUGUGACUCGAUCGUUUCAACCCUUUACAGUGACGUUUCGAUCUGUCACGUAUUUCGAAAAUAUUUCGUCGCUGUCUCGUCUCGGGCUAGGCCGAGACAGAGACGACUCGGCCGAGACGUCUCGGUCUGGGCCAGUAUUCGAACCAUGAUUGCAACCUUACAAGAAAACGAGAUGAGGACCACUGAGAGACAAGUCCAACUAUAAAUCCACGAGACGCGAAUUUUUGAAAUAUUUAAUAUUCUAAAAAUUGUAAAAAAAUAUGAUAAAUAAAAAUAAUUAAAAAUUAGUAAAAAUAAUAAAAAUUCAAGUUGAUUCGGGAUGAUUCGAAGUGACUGGAUGUGACUCAGUCAUUUCAAUCUUUUACGGUGACGUCUCGAUCUGUCACGUAUUUCAAAAAUAUUUCGUCGCUGUCUCGUCUCGGGCUAGGCCGAGACAGAGACGACUCGACCGAGACGUCUCGGUCUGGGCCAGUCUUCGAACCAUGAUUGCAACCUUACAAGAAAACGAGAUGAGGACCACUGAGAGACAAGUCCAAUUAUAAAUCCACUAACUCUCAUUAAAUAAACCCCAUCCAUCAUUCAAUCCCAAGUAAACCAGCAAGAAAUCCGCAACUAUCUAUGGAAACCUUGUAUCUCUACCUUCCACUUUUCCUAGCAUUAUACAUCUUCACCAAGCACUUCCUCAACAAAAUCCGAAACCUUCCACCUAGUCCCAUCCUUAAUCUCCCCGUCCUCGGCCACCUCCUCCUCAUCAAGAAGCCUCUUCACCGAGGCCUAGCCAAGAUUUCCGACCGUCAUGGCCCGGUCCUCCUCCUGGAAUUCGGCUCACGCCCAGUCCUCCUUGUCUCCUCCGCUUCUGCAGCCGAAGAAUGCCUCAACAAGCACGACAUCGUUUUCGCCAACCGCCCGCGUCUGCUGGCUGGAAAACAUCUGGGAUACAAUUAUACCUCAAUGGCAUGGACGUCCUACGGGGAUCACUGGAGAAAUCUACGGCGGAUAGCUUCACUGGAGAUCUUGUCUUCCCACAGGCUUCAAACGCUUCACGGGAUACGUGUUGAUGAAGUAAAAUUGAUGCUGAAAAGGCUGUUUUCAGCUUCAGAAAACAAGAAAAGCGUGGAUAUGAGGGCCCUUUUCUUUGAGCUGAUGUUGAACGUGAUGAUGAGGAUGAUUGCUGGGAAGAGGUAUUAUGGGGAGAAUGUUGGGGAAGUUGAGGAGGCUAGGAGGUUUAGGGAGAUUGUAGAGGAGACGAUGAUAAUUGGUGGAGCUUCGAAUAUGGGAGAUUUCUGGCCGGUUUUGAGGUGGUUAAAAGUGGGAAAGAAGGAGAAGGCCUUGAGGGUUUUGCAGGAGAAUAGGGAUCAAUUCGUGCAGGAGUUGAUCAAGGGGUUUAGGAGUGCAAAAGAUGCAGAAAAUGGUGGCGGCGAUGCAGAGGAAACAGGGGAAAAGAAGAAAACGUUGAUUGAAGUUUUGUUGACCCUGCAACAGAAGGAGCCUGAGUAUUACAAGGAUGAAAUCAUUAGAAGCCUUAUGCUGGUAUGGUUACUCUGAUAAAUUUCUUUCUGGCUCUUCUUCUUCUUAUUAAUGUAGCUAAUUUGUUAUCAUUUCUAUGUUCCCUAGAAAAUGUCAAACUUCGAUUAAGGACAAAUUAAUAGAAAUUGAAAGUAAUUCGAAGAUUAAGUGACUAAAUCUAGAUGGCCAAAAUUUGCUUUCUUUGAGUAUAAAAUAUAAGCUUACUUCAGUUGUCGUACAGUAAUUCGAUUGCUUCCAUUAUUGUGCAAAGUUAUGAUGAAUAAGAAAAAUUCACUGGUACAGUUCAAGAAUAGAGUUGACCGCACGGUGUGAACAGGAGUAGAUCCCAACGUAUUGGGCGGGGGGCCCACUUUUCUUCGGUGUUGGCAUUUGACAGUGAAGCAGAAAGAAAGUAUGAUGUCUAGCCAACCGAUGUCUAAAGUUGGUUGACUAGAUUUUAGAAGCAAAUGUCACUGAUCAUGCUCUUCAUUCUACCGUUUACCACUUUCUUCUUCUUUUCUCAAGUGCAUUUCACCAUUGACCGCUUUCGUAUUGCAGGUUUUACUAGCAGCAGGUACCGAUACAUCAGUGGGAACAAUGGAGUGGGCAUUGUCACUAAUGCUAAACAAUCCAUCAACUUUGGAGAAGGCAAAAGCAGAAAUUGACAGAAUCAUAGGAAAAGAACGUUUAUUAGAUGAAUCAGAUGUGGCUAAUCUACCCUAUCUCCGGUGCAUAAUUAGUGAAACAUUGAGGAUGUUUCCAGCAGGGCCUAUAAUGCUACCCCACGAAUCCUCCGAGGAAUGUGUGGUUGGGGGUUACCGUGUGCCUGGGGGGACAAUGUUGAUUGUCAAUUUGUGGGCUAUCCAAAAUGAUUCCAAGAAUUGGGAGGAUCCAAGAAAAUUCAAGCCUGAAAGAUUUGAAGGGCUUGAAGGGACCAGAGAUGGCUACAAAUUAAUGCCAUUUGGUUCUGGUAGAAGAGGUUGUCCUGGGGAGGGAUUGGCCAUGCGCAUGGUUGGAUUUGCUUUGGGAUCAAUUAUUCAGUGCUUUGAUUGGAGCAGAAUCAGUGAGGAGAUGGUAGAUUUGGCUGAGGGGCCUGGACUGACUCUGCCUAAGGCUCAACACUUAGUCGCCAAUUGUCGAGCACGACCUGGAAUCAUGAGCCUUCUUUCUCAAAUUUAGACUGCGACGAGGAUGUAUCUUGACUCUUGAGAAAGGGUGGGCAGUAUUUGCCUCGUCUCUUCUUCUUGUUUGAAGAAAAAAUAUGUACUAGUAAAAAAAAAAAAGUCUUGUUUUAUAUAUUUCACUUGUUUCUUUAAGGGAAAAAAUGACGGAGUAAUUUACUUUAUAGUAGUUGCUAUUUGAUGACGCUAAUUUUUGAAUUUCCUUGUUUUAAGUUGGAAUUUUCACAGCACAAUAAUUAUACCUUGCAACUCCUAACUGAAAACAACUCAAACCAUAUAUUUAUUCAUUCUCCUAAUGUCCACACUAAGCAAUAUCUUAGUUGGCAACUUCUUGAUCCGAAAGUUUUCUUUAGUGUUGAUAAUCAAUGAGAGAUAAAAAAAAAUGAGUAUCUAAAAAUAUAAAGGUCUAUCUAUUUGGACAACCGUUCUUAAGACAUAUUUCAGAUAAAAAAAUACAAGAUUAAUUAGAAUAAAUAAAUAUAAAGAGGGGCAGGAAAGAUUAAAUAGACAAACAUAUAUAAGUACAAGGAAGGAUAAUAAUUGUAGUAAAUGUGUGUGUAUAUAUAUAUAUAUAAUAAAUUAGAUAAAUUUUAAAUGUAUUAACGAGUGUCUAGUAAACACCCGAAAAAAUCCAAAAUAUGACGAUUUUUUUCCGUAAGAAAACUCGAAUAUGAGACGUCUCAGUUGCACUUCGUCCCUAGAAACGCCCAACCAAUAUCCCUUCCCUUCUAAAGGCCGCUGCCGCUAGUGCUGAUGACCAGGGCAUGGUCGAUAUGAAAUCAGCCUUCUUCGAACUCACACUGAACAUUAUGAUUAGGAUGAUUGCUGGAAAACGGUAUUCUGGUGAUGGCUCAGGAAAAAUAGGGGGAGUCGCGAGCUUUCAAGAGAUGGUUAAAGAGAGUGUUAAAGUCAGCGGAUCAACAAAUGCUGCAGAUUUUGUUCCGCUACUGAGGUGGAUAGGGCAAAAUAAGCUUGAAAGUCAUCUGAAAACGUUGCAGAUGAAGAGGGAAAAGUUCCUACAAGAUUUGAUUGAAAAGCACGGAAGCAUCACCAGUCAUCGUGAGAACAAGACACUGAUUGAUGUUCUCUUAUCUCACCCAGAGACAGAACCAGAGUACCAUACGGAUCAAAUCAUCAGAGGCUUGGUUCAGGUGAGUCAAGUUUUAAGGAGAAUAGUAGAUCGGUCCCUCGAAAGUGCCAACAUUCCAUAAAAUCAAGUAUAUUAACAACCUAAGAGAAUCCACCUCAAGCGCUAGCUAGCUGUCAUACUUGAAGGGUAGGAUCAUAAGUUCAUAGCAUUAACUUCCCUGCUUUUUCAGCUUUUAACAAUCAGUCAAGAUAACUCAAAAGCAUGUAUCAUGUGUUAUCCGGUAUUGAUAGAGAUAAUAAAUCAAAUUUCGUCUAAUCUUAAUAGCUGAUAAUGUUAUCGGCGGGAAGUGACGCAACAUCUGGAACUAUGGAAUGGGCACUGUCAGUUCUGCGGAACAACCCAGAGGCUUUAAAGAAAGCACAAGAAGAAAUAGACUUUCAAAUAGGCCAAUCAAGGCUGAUAACUGACUCCGACCUUGGCCAGCUUCCUUACCUUCAAGCAAUAAUAAACGAAACCUUUCGUAUGUAUCCUGUGUCCCCUUUUAUCUCCCUGCAUGAAUCAUCCGAAGAAUGUACAGUUGAAGGCUUUGGUAUCCCUCGUGGGACAUUGCUCCUAGUGAACCUUUGGGCUAUUAAUUAUGAUCCUGAAAUAUGGGAAGAACCCACAAAAUUCAAACCUGAAAGGUUCAUGAACUUGGAAGAUCAGAGAUAGAGAUUCGAGUUUAUGCCAUUCGGGCUUGGCCGAAGAGGAUGUCCUGGAGAAAAUUUUGCUCGACGAGUUGUGGGGUUGGCAUUGGGUUCACUUAUUCAAUGCUUUGAGUGGGAAAGACCUGGGGAAGAAUUGGUGGACAUGAGUGAAGGAGCUGGGCAUACUAUGCCUAGAGCUCAACCGCUGCUGGCAAAGUAUAGGCCACCCCCUGAAAUGGUUAAGCUUCUUUGAGUUGUGAUCUGAGUGUUUGACAAUGUUUUCUUCCUACAACACCUAGACGACUGUGGAGAAACAAGUGAACAAGAAAACAGAGGAUGUCUCUCUGUACGUGUUUGUUUUAACUUUUAAUACUACUAUUUUAUCUCUUUCAACUUCGCUUUGUGUUGCUGCAAGAAAGUAUAAAAAAGCAAAGGGUUUACUCUAGUUUCUUGCUUUCUCCAAAGAUCCAGCAUUUUCAUGUGUGUUUCUAUUAUUUGUUAACCAAUGGUUCAGAAUUCAAUCGACGGAGAAGCAAAAUUUUGCCAAGCAUGAGAAAUUCCCAAAAUUCUGAUCAAAUUUAAAUUAUUUGUAAGAUGCUUUUGGUUGCAUGUUGUACUUUAGAGGGUCCUCACGUUCUGUAAUUUAGAGCUUUCUUGCAUUCUAUAACUGCGAGGUAAGGUAAGCAAAAUUUAAAUUGCCCCCAGGGCAUAUGGCGUAGCGGUUGAGGGGUCGGUCUUGAGUUGUUGACUUCUUCACUGAUUGGGGUUCGAUUUGUACCCGCUACGCUGCACAUCCUGACUCACCCGGGAAAACUGUAUGGAGCUAUCGGCUUCCCUCCAAUUUGGUAUGCCGGCUCGGGUCCAAAGGGUUCGGAUCGGGGCAUGUUCCGAAUUACCAAAAAAAAACUUAAAUUUUGAUCAAGUUUAUCUGCUUUGGAAAAACCCCAUUCAACAGGAGGUUGCCCACUGCAAAAAAGCACCCCUAUUGUACAAUUUUUCAAACAUCAUCAAAAUCUUGUUUUUGAGGUUUCAAAGCCGCUAAAUUGAACAUUAGCUCUGAAUCGGAUAAUUAUGUUCAAUGGUGAUGUUUUGCUGAUAAUUACUCUUUAGUUAGUCCAGUGCGCAUGUACGCAUAGUCCAUUCGAUGCCCGUGGGAAACAGGUGUUACAAGGUCCAUGCAUUUUUCAACCAAAGAUAAGUCAAAGAGCGAAUUGCGCGAAAUGUCACUAAACUAUUUCAAAGUGCCGGUUCUGAUCAUUAAACUUUUUUAUUAGCGCGAAAUGUCACUGAACUAGUAAAUCUAUACCGUUUUGGUCACUCCGUGUAUUUGUGCCGUUAGGAGAGACGGAAAUUAACUUUUUGAGGGGUAAUUUCGUCUACACAAUAGUUAAAAAAUUUAUGCCUUCAUUCUUCUUCACCCACAACCAUAGUGCUAUACCAUAUUUACAUUCCCAGCCUUCCCGUACGCAUCAAUCAUCACAGAAUAGGUAACCUCAUCCGGUUCACACCCAAAAGACGGCAUUUUUUCGAACCACUGGACGGCUUUCUCAGGUAAAGAAGACAGCCUGGCGCAGCUAAUUAUGGUGGAAAGGAGGAGUAUUGGACCAGCAAUCAAAGAAUCAAGAGAUGAAUUCGCUGAAGAAGGGUUCUUUUCGUCCUCUGGGGCUGCUGCUUGGCCUUGUACCUGUCCCAUAUCUCAUCGAGAUUGGAUGCUACGGAGAUGAAGUAAGAGGAAAAGGCAACAGCAGCAACCAAAAAAUUGGGAUGGACGAGAAUUUUGAAGUUGGAGUUGGGGUUGGGUGCUAUCUGCAACCCAUGUAAAGUUGUGGAGUGAUUUGCGAUUAAUCUGUUAAAUGUUAUUGUGCCAACUGCCAACAGAAUUGGAAUGGACAUCAAAGUCCAGUGUAGGCCGACGACGGACGGAGCUCUCUAUGCCCACCCACUUCUGCAACAAAACCACCGAACUUUACAUUUAAUUUCUCAUUCUUUUCACUCUUUCCGCAUCGUCAUUUUCGCCACUCCCAACCCCAGAGGUAUGUAAAGGUGACAUUAUCGGGCUUAACUCCUCUCUCAAUCAUAUCCGUAAACAAUUUCUCGGCUCUGUCCAAGUCUCUACAUUUUCUAAACACCUUGAAGGUAACAUUAUACAAAAUCACUUCUUUCUUCAACUUAAGCCUUUCCAGAAAGUAACUCAGCACCAAAGGCGCAGUUUCAGAGUUGGACAUGUUAUUGAGCACAACGGCAGCAUCUUGCUCUACAACUUUGCCACCCAAAUUAGCCAAAAUACUAAUAACGUCAGCUUCUACAGGGUCACACGAGUCCAAUUGUUGGGAAGCUUGGACUAAAGAAGCAUACCUGAAAUCGUAGGAAUUGCGCCUGAGCUUUGAUGCCCUGGAGCUGUUGGGGUUGACCCAGAUAUAGCUUUUUGAGGAAGAAGAGAUGGUUUUAGCAUCUGGGCGGUGAGGAAUUUGGGAAAUUGAGGGGGAUUGUUGUUGGGAAGCCGGUAUAGAGAGGGAAGGUUUUGGAUGGGGCUUGAGAGGAGGAAAAGCGAGGGCGUUAUGGGGGAUGAUUCUGAGUUGGUGGAGGUGAGUGGGAUAAAGAGAGUUACAGAAGAGGUGUGGGUGGCGAGAGAGAUGAGACGGCGAAUAGGCGGCGGCCACCAUUCUUCUCUCUACUCUUCUUCCUUCCUUCUCAGUCGUCACUCACUCAGCAGAGCAGUCAGCAGCAUUUGAAUUUUCUUCUUUUUUACAACUAUGAAAAAUUUCGCCUGCAUUUUUUGGUUGAAGUUUGAUGGUGCCGCCAUUCAGAUCAGCCAUCUCCUUUAUGUCUUUGCCGGAUACGGAACCAUUGAUUAUGUAAAAGCUUCAAGAAAAAGGCUGUGCUGACAAAUUUGCCCCUCAAAAAGUUGAUUUCCGUCUCUCCUAACGGCACAAAUACACGGAGUGACUAAAACGGUAUAGAUUUACUAGUUCAGUGACAUUUCGCGCUAAUAAAAAAGUUUAGUGACCAGAACCGGCACUUUGAAAUAGCUUAGUGACAUUUCGCGCAAUUCGCUCUAAGUCAAAAAAAUAUUUGUCUGCGGAGCGGAACUCCAUUUUCAUAUAAAAAAAAAUGCUGAAAGUCGCCAUAUCUGUUUCAGUACUACCACUCUACCAGUUCCAUCUGACAGCUCACGACCGCAAGGGGGGGAAAAAAGACAAAUAAAAACAAGGAUCUAUGUCAAUCGCAUGUUAUAUGAAAUCUUAACACAAGAUUUAAGAUUGCAAGAUAUCAGCUGAUACAAGGUGGCCUAAGCUGAAGGCGUCUUGCUCCCUAGAAGCUAUAUCACUGAAACAGCAGGGAAUUGUUUAGAAUAUUACAUUGGAUAAGCAUUUUUUUUUUUUUUUGGUAAAUAAAGAUGCAUUAAAAAUAAAUCAAGUCAACAGAGUGCAAAUUAAGGUACAGUCAUCCGUGGGGUGGAAACCCCCUUUAAGUCUUGCAAAAGUAAGGGAAGUACAAAAUUAGGACAUAAUUCAAAAAAAGUGAAGUCUUGAGUGUUGCUUCUUCCCCAGUUGGCAAGGAUGUCUGCACAUUUGUUUGCUUCUCUAUAAUUAUGGUGAAAACAUACUUUCUGGAAUGUAGUCAAUAGCUCCCUGCAAUCAAGAAUAAUAGGUGCAAGUUCAUGAGAAAUAAGAUUAUUUGACUUACACAAGGAGAAUAUAAAGGCAGAGUCCAUCUCCACUUCGAGAGAGUGGAUGUUGAGUUUUUUUGCAAGUUGUAAGCCUUCUCUAAGAGCCCAACAUUCAGCAGAAGGAACUGAACAGAAGCCUAAAUUUCUUGCAAAGCCCGCAAUCCAUAUCCCAUUUGAGUCACGAAUAAUGCCGCCAGCUCCUGCCUGGUUUGUUGGUCCAGAGACUGAACCAUCAGUGUUGAGCUUGGCGAAACCUAUAGCAGGGGGGAUCCAUCUGAUGAAUUUUUCUUGUCUAGGGGAUCUGGAGAAGUGAGAACCAGGCCCUAGUAGGCUUCUGUUCCAGAUGCACGCCUCCGAGCAAGGAUGUAAAUGAAUCUAACCAAACUGAACACCCUAGUAUUCAAGUUUAUUUGAUUAUUUUAACAAGUUUGUAAUUUUAUUCAAAUUUAAUUUAUUUAUUUAUCGAACCAAGUUUGUUUGAUUAUUUUACCGAAUUUGAACGAGCUAUUUAUUGAAGAGUGUGUUUGGAUAGGAGAUUAUUUGAAAUAUUAUUUAGAAUAAUUACUGUAGCACUUUUUGUAAUGUAAUGUAUGUAAAAUAAAAAGAUGAUUGAGAAGAUAAAAAGAUGUGUUGGAAAUUGUAUUUGUGAUGUAAGCAAAUAAUUUCUAGCCAUUAUUUGGCUAUCCAAACACACUGAAUAUAAAACGAUAUUCAAUCUUAAUUUGACUAGUUAGCAAAUCAAACUCGAAUGAACUCAAACCAAACUGAACUCGAUUCAAAUAUCAAGUAGAUUGAUUUAUCUUUCAACAUUUCGGAGUUGUUAUCCAUGUGUUUGAGAAUGUCAUCCUCCUGUAUUGUGUUUUGGUUUUUCAAGUCCCGAACGAUGUUUUUUUGUUGCAGCAAAGGAGGAAAGUUUUAGAGAGCUUAGGAUAUUACAAUAAAAUAGCAGUCAGGAGUAGCGAAGGAGGAAACAUAUGAUUCAGCCGAAAGGGGAACGAAAAGAAGAAGAAGAAGAAGAAGAAGAAGAGGAGAAGUUAUGGUUUUAAUUUAUUUGAAGAAUUGCCAUAUAUAUAUAUAUAUAUAUAUAUAUGUAUUUUAGGUAAAAGAAGAUUAUAUACUAGUAGUAGUUUGGAAAAAUAAGGAAUGCGAUCAUAAUAAGUAAAUGCAAAAAAGUUUGCCGUAAACUCCUUUGAGUGUUUGUAGUUGUCAAAGCUCUUUGUCAGGCUGCCCCCAGUGGUUCGAAAAUGUGCUGAGGACCUCUUUUGAACUAAUUUGUUACAUGGAUGGAAACCAUACGCACACCAAAAGAUUAGAAAUUUUCAUGCUAUCCCUUGUUUCUACAUUUAAUAAUAAUAAUAAAAAAAAGUGGAUGAGGCGUUGAUCUACAAAGUUGAGGUUUUAGAAUUUGGAGAUCUUGAAUUCAAUACUUAUCAAAGUGUGAGUCUCUAAACUUUGUGUUAGUAUUUAUCCCACCAUAUGUAUGUAGAUUAGUUGUAGUUCGAAAUAUUUGUAAUCUCUUAUAUUAGUCCUAUAGUUGUAGAUUAUACACGAUAUUAUCGAAGAAAAUAUUUAAAGAAGAAAAAAAAUGCAAUCUUAGUGCCCGAUAUGUAAAAUUGGUAACCACGAAACAAAUCUUGAUGAAUCCACGAAAUUCACCAUGAUCCCAAUAUAUGGGAAGAACCCACGAAAUUUAAGCCUGAAACGUUUGGGGGAUUCGUGUUUAUGGCAUUUGGGUAUGGUCAAAGAGCAUGUCUUGGUGAAAAUUUAGCUAGACAAGUUGUGAGGUUGGCAUUGGGCUCACUCAUUCAAUGCCUUAAUUGGGAAAGAAUUGGUGGAAAUGAGCGAAGGAGCUGGGUUUACUAUGCCAAGAGUUCAACCGCUGCUGGCAAAGUACAGGCCGCGCCCAGAAAUGGCUUCUUUCUGAGUUGUGAUCCUGGUGUUUUGGGAAUGUUCUUUGCCACCUGCACCACUGGGGAAUCGACUGUACGAGGAAAACAGAGGAUUUCCCACUGUAGUGCGUGCGUACCACGUUGGCUUACCACUACUUUUUAUAUUUUACCUUCACUUGGUCCAUAAUUUUUGCAGCUCAAGGAUGUGAAAAAGUCCGUGCCGUCCUGAUUCCAUUGUAAUGUAAGCUGGUCAAAGCUACAAGCCGGUUAUAUACGACGCUACUCCAAGAAAGGAGAAAAAUAUAAGCAAAGCAAGGAGGCCGUAAAGGAUGGAUAUCAGUAGCAGAUCAUUGACAGAUAAGAUACUAAUAUUCAAGAAUGAGAGGGCCGUAUCCCUUACGUCAAAGGAGUUUUGAAUCUUGAUUACUGAUACAUUCUUGAAAUAACAAUAAUGAAUUACUAGAUAAAAUAGGCAUACGGCAUAAGUAUCAUUCCAACACUUUGGAUUUAACCUCGAUCUCUAUGGAUGCUUCAUACUGCUACCUCCUGCUUUUUCCCUUCCUGUAUUUACUUACCAAUCAAAUCAUCAAAAAGUUCCGGAAUCUCCCACCAAGUCCACCUCUUUCCUUACCCAUAAUUGGCCAUCUUCAUCUCAUCCAGAAACCACUCCACCGAGGACUAGCUAAGAUCUCCGAUAAAUAUGGUCCAAUACAGUUUCUUCAUUUUGGUUCUCGGCCUGUCCUGCUUGUAUCUUCACCCUCAGCUGCAGAAGAAUGCUUCACCAAGAAUGACAUAAUCUUCGCUAAUCGGCCAAGAUUUCUCGCCGGAAAACACCUUGGCUACAACUAUACAACUCUGGGAUGGGUCUCAUAUGGCCAACACUGGCGCAACUUGAGAAGAAUAGCUACUGUGGAGAUCUUAUCUGCUACCCGAAUUCAAGCUUACACGAGCAUCCGUGUUAACGAGGUCCAUUCAUUGAUCAAGUACCUUCUAAUGGCCUCUAAAGCUAGUGACUCUAGCACGGUUGAGAUGAAAUCGGCCUUCUUUGGGCUGACACUUAACAUCAUGAUGAGGAUGAUUGCAGGAAAGCGAUACUACGGCGAUGAUGCCCAGAACAAGGAGGAAGCCGCAAGGUUCAAAGAGAUAGUUAAAGAGACUUUUCAACUCAGUGGGGCGACAAACAUAGCAGAUUAUAUUCCAUUAUUGAAGUUUUUUGGGCAACAGAAGCUUGAAAGCAAGCUGAAGACUUUGCAGGCGAAGAGGGAUCAAUUCUUGCAAGAUUUGAUUGAAGAACACAGAAGAACCGUGAGGAGUUCCGACAGUGAGAAGGGCAACAAAACAAUGAUAGACGUUCUCUUGUCCCUCCAACAGACCGAGUCCGAAUACUACACAGAUGAGAUCGUCAAAGGUAUGAUUGUGGUAAGUAACUAUUUAAUCCUCUCGAUAUCUUAAUCCAUCCGUCUGUUAAGCAUACAGAAAUUCUGAUCUUUGUCUGGGAUCAGUCCCAUGAAGGAUUGAGUCUGAAAAUCUAAGUCAAAGCUAGUUUGAUUGCACUAGUACCAUCUCCGUGUUGCCUUGCAUUUUUUAUUGAGCUGUAAUGCUAUGUUUCCUACACGUAACAAUUCUAGGGAUAAUUUCAGAAACCUCCCCUGAGAUUUCUAACAGUUUCACUGCCCUUCUCCGAGGUUUCUAAAAUAUCAGAAACCUCCCCUACUAGGUCAUUGGGGUCCAAUUGUCACAUCAAUCAUGGAAGAAUGACUUAAUUACCCAUACAACUUAAGAGGUAUUUCCCAAUUAUGUUCACAUGAUUAGUUAAACUGUUAUUAACUAGAUUUAACAGAAAUGAUGACAAUUUAUAAGUUUUUUUAAAAAAUUUCUAACAUGCCAUUACAAAAAGGGGGCCAUAUAUAGGCACCUUUCUAUGAUUGAUAAUUGAUGUAUGCGAGUAGAAGCAAUGAUUCAAACUUUAGUGUUUUUUGUGGAAUAAGAGAAAUAGAGCUUCUUUAGGUAUAUCUAAGGAUUUAGGAGAUUUGAAAAGGAGAUUUGCUCUUAAAUUUUUUUCAAAAUUUUGGUGAUUGUGAAAAUUUCAAGAUCAGCCUCUAAGAUUUUUCUGCUAUUAAAUUUUGGAAAUUUUUAUUAUUUGAUUGCAGUUGUUAAGGUAAUUCUUGAUGGUGAUGCUUAAUAGUGACCCUACAAGUGAAAAAGAAUAGUUUGGAUCAAACAAAAAAAGGAAAAUAUGAUUUUAUGUAGUUUGUAUUAUGUUCGGUAUGAUCUGCUCCAUUUGAUGAUUGGUAUUUAAUUAUAGUGUUUUUUCUUUUUUAUCCUAAUUAUUACUUUUAUUGUCAUCGAAAUUAGGUGCUGGUUUUGUAUGAAAUAUACGUAAAGAUUGUUGGUUGUAUGCUACUAAAUUGAAAAACCUUUUAAUUAUGACAAUUUUUUUCUUGUUUGUGAUUAUUCAACAAAUGUUUUUUUUUAAAUCGAAAUGUUGGUUGUAAUAGGAUUCACAUGCUUUGUUUCUCUUGUAGGAGAUUAUGCAAUUGAUGUGUUAUAAUAGAUGUAAUAGUAUGAUAUUACACAUGCAAUAUGUAGAUAAGAUUUUGAGUUGCUAAACUUGUUGUAGAGUUAGUAAAUUGAUAUUUUGUUUACGCUCUAUGAAUACGGUAACAAUUACACCGUCUCAAAUUUGAUAAAGUUAAAAUAGAUAUAUAUUGUUCGUAGGAAAUUAACUAUCUAAUGCAAAACUUGAGGGUAGUUAUGGAAUUUGACAGGUGCCGAACUUGUGCAAUAAUAAUUACUAAAAAGUCCUAAUUACCAUCACAAUUAAUUAUAGAACGAAUUCAAGUACUGGAGCAGGACCCUAGGUGAGCAAUGGGUUACUUGAUUCACCAUGUUCCCAAAGAGUUUGCUUGAUCCGAUAUACCAGAAUUGUCUAUAAAAAUACUAAGUUUGCAUACAAUGGCAAGUAGGGUCGAUUCCACAAGGAACGGGUAGGAAGUUGUUUCCUUCCAAGUCAAUAGAAUAAAAAAGAGGGACAAUUAAUGGGAUGAAACUAAAAAUAAAAUAAAUAAAAUUCAAGAGCUAACUCAACAACAAUUUAGUAAAAAUAGCAAUUAAUAAAAUUCUACCCAAAUGAUUAACUGCUCAGGCACGGUCCAAUUAAAUGAUCAUCGAUGCAAAGAUAUUUCAUUCAUCUGUCAUUAGGUUGGUUAUAGCUAUCAACAAGCUUUGACAACCAGUUCUUCCUUACUUUUUCGACAGUCAAGGUACGACCAUUGACUGUUUCUCUAACCAGAAAACAACUCUAGGUACGACCGUAAGAAUUUAAUUAUCCAAUUGGAUUAAAACUAGAAGAACCCAACCCUGAUCAAUAAGCACGCUAAGAGGGUUUAUUUAAAUCAGAUCUUACGUUUCUCCAACAUAAAGCCAAUUAUGGUGGUUGUUACUAGUUGUCAACUAAACGAAUAAUUACGGAUUCAAUUUAAUUAACGUGGCAGUAGGCUAUUAUGUUAAAUCAAAUACCCGACCGUUGAUAUCCAAUUAAUAAAAUACUCAUGAACAAUUAAUUCAGGAAACGUACGAAUAGCAAUAAGUUGGAAGAAAUAAUGAAAAUUCGAUUAGAUGUUACAGAUAUUAUGAACCGUGCUUUCGCGUCGACCUUCGGGUAGAGGAGAAAUCUAGCCGCUCCUUAUCAUAUCCAUCUCGCGUGAUUUAAUUGAAACCAUUCAAUUAAUUCCCGAAAAAUUGGGAAAGAUGAAACAACGAGGAAAACGAAUAAAAGGGCUUAAGUAUCUCUUGGUCUCUGUGUUUGUACUGGAGCAAGAAAGUAAAAGUAAAGCACUAGAGAAAGUCGGCUGCCAAAAGACAAGAGCCAAGCCGCCCGUAAGAAAUUGUCUAAUAGGAAGAGACAAAAGCUACAACUAUGAAGGUCGCGUGAUUCUGGCUUCUUAAUUGCUGCCGAAGAGAAAAAAAGGAAAAGAAAACGUCUGACACUAAAAAGCAAAAGCUAAUCUAAUUACAAAGACGUAAAUCUGGCUUUUUUCCUCUCUUUUGUAGCGGCGCCAGGAGAAAUCCACGAAAGGUCAGGAGCAAAGCUUUUCUUUUUGGGGUUUUAAUCCCAUGCCUCUCGUGGUUCACGUGGACCCAACCUCCUAAUUGCUCACUUUUUGCUGCCACCAAGCUCGCGGGUCCGGCUUUAGAUAUAUCUCCUCACUUUCUGGCGUGGCACGUCAUGAAACAAAGAGUCUUUUGGAAAUUUUUCUCGCGCGAUCACUUUUAACACCAAUCACCUACAAUUGAUACAAAUAUGAAAUAUGAGCAAAUUCUCAAUUCUUAGCAUCAUGAGUAGCCAAAAUUAGGACAGAAUAAUAGUGCAAAAUAUGCCCAAUAAUUGCUCUAUCAGAAUUAAAUUGUUUUCUCUCUUCUAAUACCAAUUUUAUAUUAUUUUUGUAUUUGAAUUGGGCUGAUUGUUACUAGCUAAUUAGCUUUAGGGGUGGUUUCCGAUAUUUUGAAAACCUCAGUGAGAUUGUCAAAAACCUCAGGGGAGGUUUCUGAAAUUAUCCCAUAAUUCUAUCUACGUCUAAUACUAUUUAUACUAAGAGGGUUGCUCACGAUAAAUGUUCUAACAUUAUCAUACACCUCCUCUUAUCCCUUCAUUUGUAUUUCUAUCUUAUUUACAGAAUCAAGAUAAUAGUAUAAAAAAUUCAAUCCCAUUGUACUAUUGAAUCAUGACGUGCAGGAAAAAAGGAAGAAGUAAAGAUAAAACGAAUGAGUAGCACAGUAUUCACCUUUAAUCCAUGCUUUAGACUAGCAGAAAAUAAUGCAAAUUUUGUCAACAGCAAAUGUUAUCAGCGGGAACCGACACAUCAUCCGGAACAAUGGAAUGGGCACUCUCCCUGCUGCUCAACAAUCCACAAGUUCUAAAGAAAGCCCAGCAAGAAAUUGACGCGUACGCUGGCCAAUCAAGGCUUAUCAAUGACUCGGACUUGGGUCAGCUGCCUUAUCUUCAUGCAAUUAUUAGUGAAACACUUCGCAUUUGCCCGGUGGCCCCUAUUCUGGUGCCUCAUGUGUCAUCCCAAGAGUGUUGUGUUGGAGGCUACAAUAUCCCCGGUGGCACGUUGCUGUUAGUGAACUUAUGGGCAAUGCAAAAUGAUCCCAAGGUUUGGGAAGAACCCACAAAAUUUAGGCCUGAGAGGUUUAUAAGUUUGGAAGGGCAAAGAGAUGGAUUUGUGUUCAUGCCAUUUGGGUUUGGCCGAAGGGGAUGUCCUGGCGAAAAUUUGGCCAUGAGCGUUGUGGGGUUGACAUUGGGGUUGCUUAUUCAAUGUUUUGAGUGGGAAAGAGUUGGGGAAGAGUUGGUGGAUAUGACUGAAGGGGCAGGGCUUACCAUGCCAAGGGCUAAAGAAUUGAUGGCCAAGUGUAAACCACGGCAAGAAAUGGUCAAACUUCUUUCUCAAUCGUGAUUGGGAUUUCAGAAGUUGGUACCUCUAAGAAAAAAACCCAUCGCAGUGAUGACAACAUUGUGAACAAAGUGUGCUUGUUUUGCCAUUAUUUUUGUGAUUCUAUACCUUCUUGUAUGUGGAAUAAAGGAUUUGAUUAAAAGUUUAAAAUACGGUUAGAGACACCUUAUUUUAAUUUAGUACGUUUUAUUGUAGGAAUAGAUGCAUAUGCAUACCUUUUUAUUUUGAUAGGUGAAAAUAAAACAACAAAAAAAAGACUUACAAAUAUGUUAGAUCUUCAAUGUUCAUGAAUAAAACUCUCUCUCUUUUUUUUUCACUUUUACUUCCUUUUGGAAAAGAAUUAAAACUCUUCUUUUUUUUUUUUACAGUUUUUUAUUUGUUCAUGAUGUGGGAGGUCUAUGUUCAUUUGAAAUCAAGAGCUCACCCCAACUUUUGUAGAAACUAGAGGGGAAGUUAGUGUAGUUUACCAACAAGAUACGUGUCUACUUACUUGAAUAACCAGUAAUAAGAUUUAAGGAAGAAAAACUUGGGCUACUCCAGUUAGCAAUGCCCAAGUAUCAAAAAAUGAAGAGCCCAAAUUCAUGUGAAAAUGUAUACAUGUUCUUGGUUAAUUUCACAAUAAACUUGUAAUCCUUUUUUUUGGCAAUUCAAAUUAAAUUCCAUUUUGCCUUUGGAUAUAACCAAGAGUUAUGUCCCUUUUAAUGAAUCUAGUAUAUUUUGGAGGGCUUUACUACUUCAAAUUUUUUUUUAAAAAUUUUAUCAGUAGUAAUCAUGAAAAAUAAAUCAUUUUCAACUAUGUAGUACUGAAAGAAACAUGCGACAGAAAAGAGUGGCAUCUCCAUAUAUUUUCUGAGCGUCAAAAUAAAAUUAUAAACUUUCUACCACUAACUCUUUUAUCUAAACCAUGCAAUUUUGCGUGCAUCAAAAUAGCGUAAUUAUUCAGUUUUCGUGUAAGGAAAUGAAAAUCUUAGGACUUGCUAGGAAAAACAUGGCGGUCUGGCUUCAGUGAAAUAUUUUUGCUAGAAAAUGUCGACUAACUUACCUACCUUUUAAUUCUUAUACUCUUUUCGUCCCAUUGAAAGUGUUAUACUUUUAUUUUAGAAUGUCUCAAAAUAUUUGUUCUGUUAAUAAAGUCAAAAUAUAUUUUAGUCUCUCUCUUCAACAUAGUUCAUCUCUCUAAUCAUAUACACGUUACCAUUCAAAUUCAAAUGUUGAAUUUGUAGGAAUAAAAUUGAAAAGAGAAGCACAAACAUCACAAUCAAACCACUAUUUUUAAAAAGUUUGAUUUUUGAAACAGAACCAAAUAAUUAGGACGGAAGGAGUAUAAACUAAAAUGAAAAAGGAAGUCUAGUGAUAAUUGAACCGUCAAAUAUCAUAAACCUUUUCAUAAAAUUGCUGGCUGAUCAGUAUAGCAAGUAGAUGAUGAUGCUUGUGUAGUUGCUAUCAUCCUUAGGUAUGAAAUUUUUCAUGAAGACCCCUUAGUAAUAAGUUUCUGAAUAGCUUCCCACAAAAGUUUCCGGGAGGUAAAUUAACAAUCUUUUGCAUUACUUUGGCCCCGGAGACAUGACAAUAAUAUCUUAGACGAAAGAACUUAGCCCCGACAAAUAUCAUGAACUUAUUGACAAUAGGUGGCUUAAUUUGUAAGAAAUAAAAAAUUAUUUAAAAAUAAGAAAAAAAAAUUAUUUAACGAAAUGCAAGUAACAUCUUGAACGAUUUUUCCUUAUUAACUCACAAAGUUAAGUUCCACUGUGGUACUUGCCAAUGGAACAAAGUUGACAGCAAAUCUUGUUGGUUGAAUGAGUCUCCUGACACAGCGUAUUAAGCAAUAAGCAUUCAUUGGUAUACCCAAACCUAUUACUCUGUAUAAGUGUACGUAUCAUAUUCACCCGUACCGUACGUCUCUUUCUACAUUUAGACACUCCCAUAUUUCUAUAUUAAUUUCACUUUUGCUAAAGGAUUACUGGGUAAAGUGUAAAGCACGGCAAGAAAUGGUUAAACUUCUUUCUCAAUUGUGAUUUGUGGGACUGUUUAACUGUCAAAAUUAAUGUGAAAACGUAUGAGAAAGUAGAAUCCUCGAAAUCCUUUAUUUUUUCAAAAUUUAGUUUUUUAAAUACUAAAAAUUUUUAAAAAUACUCUAAAAAGUAAUCUAAAUUUUUUUAAUGUUUAAAAAAUAUUCCAAAAUAUAUUUUAAAAACUCUACUACUCUUAAAUAUUUCAAAAUAUUUUCUAAAAAUAUUUCAAAAUAUACUCUAAAAACUCUGCUACAGUAAAGUUUUCAAAAAAUAUCUCAAAAAACAGCUAAUCCAAACGGAGUAAUUGAUAAACCCUAAGACAUUUAGAUGGUGAAGAAAAAGUAAAAUUAACACCACUCUUUUAACUGUUGGAAUACUUUCAAGGUACUAAAUUAUACCUUCUUAGUACCACUCGAAAGAAAGAAAAACAAGCCUUGGAAAGAAAUAGUAUCUAGAAUAAAUCUACUGCACAAUUUGGGAAUUAUUCAUCAUUCGAUCAAGUGAUGAAUAAAUCAUACGCAAGUUCAUGUAUUAGCAGAUUAAUUAUUGAAUCUAUUCAUAAAUCAGAGGAUUGCGACACAAGGAAACUUGCAGAAUUGGACAACUAUAUGGUCCCGAAGAAAAGAAAUUGACUUGCUUCAAGAUUUCCACAAACUUGGAGCGGGGGGCGAGUGGUGACGGACGACUAAGGAACUCAAGAAAGUUAAAAUAGCCAAUUACGCAAAGUUUUGGAUCCAUUAGUUGAUUGACUGACUUCUAUUGCUAGCCGGUCAAUGCCCCCUUUUAUAAAUCAACAAGAACUUUUCCAUGGAAAAUGUGUCUCUCAUUUUGGCCAAAAUUUCCGAAUCAAUACCUUCAGUCUCCGGUCAAAUGAAGUCGUAACUUGAUAAGCUUACAAGACUUUCGUUUUCCUUCUAGAAAAAAAAAAAGAAUAAAAUAAUUCCCUUGCCCUUCAACAACCUCAACAAUAAGGUUCACUAUGAGAGAAAUUUUUUUUCCAUCUAACACACUUACGUUACUCCUAAUUCAUUGCAUAAAUACGUACAAUCACAGUUAUUGAACUUAGUAUAUUUUAGUAAUUUUUUAAAUUAAUUAUCUUAUUUUUAAAAAAUUAAUACCUGAGACUCUUAUUAACGAGUGUCGACUGAAUACCUGAUAUCAAACCGAUCGAUGCUGUAGAUAGAGAAUGGUUGUUUGCAUGGAAACCAAAUCUUUUUUUUUUUUUUUUUAUUUGCUCCUUCCCCUCUUAUACAACCACCAUAUGUAGAAAGUUGAGUUCUUGGAAUCCUCCAGUGACACAGGUAUGCUGGUAAGCAAAGCACUUGAAUAUCUUCCAGAAGAAAGAUAUGUCGCGCAGCCUUAAUUGACGAAGUAAUCUCGUCAACUUUUUUUUUAAAAAUUUUGUACUGUAUAGAAAUUCCCCGGAGUUGGAGGGGCAGUUGCUUCUAAUCAAAAUAUGCUUCACACUUCACGCCACACGCACACGGUUAGGACCAGAAGUCUCAUAUGCCCUUUUCGGUGCAUUUCGUCUAAAUUCUUUUGUAGCGUGAGAAUUUAUUUAUUUAUUUAUUUUUUAAAAAUGGCUACCUAUUUUUAUUGCUUAAUUAACGAUGCUUUCGGUGCGUUUGAGUUUUCAAGAAAAUGAAUUUGAAGAGUAACAAACAUUAAGAUUAUUUGAAAUAUAUUAUUUUUUUUAAAAAUACUGUAUGAGAUAAAAAGUUGAUGCACUGACAGUAUAUACACUUUUAUCAUUAUUAGAUGCAUGACACAUAAUUUGAAUUUAAAUUUGAAACUCAAAUUUUGCAUAUGUGUCGUAUAUCCAACCGUAAUAGUGUAUACAUCGUUAGUAUACAUAAGAUUUACUCUUUGAAGUUUUAAUCUAUCCUUUGGUUUCCCAUUCUCGUGACAAAAGCACAGCUGCGCGAAUCAGUAAAAUUGGACGUAGUAAUUUGCUGUAAUGUGCAAAACCGAACUUACCUCCAUUUAGGGUUCUUGUCUAUAGAUUGACCAUGUGGUUCGGCAACACUUUUAGUGCAAAAAUUUUCAGCAUGCAACAGUCGUCCAUAGCUUAAGUGAGUUAGGCGCAGCACAUUGUUUGGCCCCGUUCCAUAUGACUUCAUUUCGUUGCCAACUUUUCUUGGAGGACUGGAAUCUCAUUAAAUAGAUCCAGCACGAUUGGUCCACGACAAUUAUUUGGUUCUGCUUUGCUGUCGUGAACUUGUGCAUUGAUUCUGUGCUUUAAUUUCUCUUGAUUUGUAGAAAAUUUGCUAGUUUUUAACUGCAAGAUUUUGUUACUCCGAAGAUUUUUAAUUUUUAUGCAGGAAAAAAAAACGCACUUCCAAACUCUGGGUACAAUAUUUGAAAAAAAAAAAGGGUAGAUGACAGGUAAGCUAAGUAGUGGUUUAGUGCCACUAUUGAAAUGUAAAAACCUCCAACCCUACACUUUUCCGACCCAUGCACCGCUCCCCGUGCCCGAACCCAAGAAGAUUUGUACAAGAAAACAGAAAAACUUUGGUGGGGUCUUGCUCGCACUAAUUUGUCACGAUUAAAUGUAUUCUUGUUUAAAAAAUUCAUGCAGAUGUGUAGUGCAUUCGUCUGAUCUGGUGGUGAUUUAAUCCUCUUCGAAUUAUUCUUGAACCUCUUCAGGUCCUAUUCCUCCUCCAUACUAUAGGAAGUUAUCGUAUCGAAAAAAAAAAAACAGAAAAAUCUCAACUCAUUAGCCUUAUUUAAUUUGAUUUGAAGCAUAAUUUUCUUGAAGAAGAGGGGCCGGGCCACACUGAUUGUAUUAGAGCAUCCACAAUGCUAUUACACUUUGUGGAGUGUAAUCCACAUGCCACGUCAGCAUUCCACUUUCUCCUCUUUUAUUACACUUUCACUCACAAUGGAUUACACUCCACAAGGUGUAAUAGCAUGGGUCCACAAUUAAUCAAAUAUUUAUUUUAAUAAUGCAUAACUCAUAUCCCAUAAAUAAAUAAAGUAAUUUUUAAAACUAAUUUUGUUAUUUUUAAAAAAUAAAGUACUAACUUUCGUUAAAUUUUGUACAUUUUGAAUUUUUUUAUUUUCUAAAAAUGAUAUUAUUAAUUUUUAAGUUUGAAUAAUAUAUCUUUUUCUAUGUUUCAAAAAUAAUAUAUUGUUAUUUUUUAAAAAAUAAUUAUGUAGGAAAUUAAACAAAUAUUUGAUACUUCAAAUGCGAAGAUAUCAUAAUAAUUCAUACUUAAUUAAUAAUUCGGAAUGUAAUUAGUUGAACUCCAUAACAUAAUAUUACAUAAGUUAAAUCAAAUAAAAUACAAAUAAUAACAAAAUGAAUACUAAUUUUCAUUGUCAUUGCCUUCGAAUCGUUCCCAAAUAUGCUCGACCAAGUCUGAUCGAAGUUGAUCGAAGUCUGAUCCCAAAUAUGCUUUGUGCUGGAAUUUUAUCGUUGUCAUAGGGCCCACAUUCAAUGGAUUACACGCAUCAUACAUGUGAUGCGUGUAAUCUCCAUGACACGGCUCCAGCGGUGUAAUGGCUCCCCGUUACUGAUUACACCCCCAUUGGAGCUGCCCUUAUGUAUAGUAUAGCUCGUAAUGGUUUUAAUCUACUCAUAACAAAUUCACUCUCCCAAACUCAAAAGUCAUCUUUGUAUAUAGAAUUUAGCCAACGAUUAUAAUUGCACAUUUUAAUAGGAAGUUUCAUAGGCUGGCUGUCAAUUGCAACCUUACAAGAAAACGAGAUGAAGACCACUCAGAGUCACAAGUCCAACAAUAAAUCCACUAACUCUCAUUAAUUAAACCCCAUCCAUCAUUCAAUCCCAAAUAAACCAGCAAGAAAUCCGCAACUAUCCAUGGAAGCCUUGUGUCUCUACCUUCCACUUUUCCUAGCAUUAUACAUCUUCACCAAGCACUUCCUCAACAAAAUCCGAAACCUUCCACCUAGUCCCAUCCUUAAUCUCCCCGUCCUCGGCCACCUCCUCCUCAUCAAGAAGCCUCUUCACCGAGGCCUAGCCAAGAUUUCCAACCGUCAUGGCCCGGUCCUCCUCCUGGAAUUCGGCUCACGCCCAGUCCUCCUUGUCUCCUCCCCUUCCGCAGCCGAAGAAUGCCUCAACAAGCACGACAUCGUUUUCGCCAACCGCCCGCGUCUGCUGGCUGGAAAACAUCUGGGAUACAAUUAUACCUCAAUGGCAUGGACGUCCUACGGGGAUCACUGGAGAAAUCUACGGCGGAUAGCUUCACUGGAGAUCUUGUCUUCCCACAGGCUUCAAACGCUUCACGGGAUACGUGUUGAUGAAGUAAAAUUGAUGCUGAAAAGGCUGCUUUCAGCUUCAGAAAACAAGAAAAGCGUGGAUAUGAAGGCCCUUUUCUUUGAGCUGAUGUUGAACGUGAUGAUGAGGAUGAUUGCUGGGAAGAGGUACUAUGGGGAGAAUGUUGGGGAAGUUGAGGAGGCUAAGAGGUUCAGGGAGAUUGUAGAGGAGACGAUGAGAAUUGGUGGAGCUUCGAAUAUGGGAGAUUUCUUGCCGGUUUUGAGGUGGUUAAAAGUGGGAAAGACGGAGAAGGCCUUGAGGGUUUUGCAGGAGAAUAGGGAUCAAUUCAUGCAGGAGUUGAUCAAGGGAUUUAGGAGUGCAAAAGAUGCAGAAAAUGGUGGCGGCGAUGCAGGGGAAACAGGGGAAAAGAAGAAAACGUUGAUUGAAGUUUUGUUGACCCUACAACAGAAGGAACCUGAGUAUUACAAGGAUGAAAUCAUUAGAAGCCUAAUGCUGGUAUGGUUACUCUGAUAAAAUCCUUUCUGGUUCUUCUUCUUAUUUUUUUUCCGGAAACGAUAAUGAAUUAUAUUAACUUGUGUAAAAAUUUACACCUAAUGAGCAAAGGCUCAAGCUGCACUAUACAAGUGUCUUCGACACUGAGGAUUUAACCAUUCCUCAUCAAAAAAUAUGCUUAGCGCAUAAAAACUGAGGUUAGCUAAGCUAUUCGUCACUUCCCCCUAGCUAAAACAAAUGAGCAUUCCACAAACAUUGAGCUUAAAUCGUAGAUGUCCUCAAUAUGAGAAUGAAGUCGAAUGUCCGUAGCCCUUUUGGUUUCUAUCAUCUUCAAAAGCUGUCGCUGUGUGAUUGCUACUUGAAUUCUCCUCCAUUGCUGCUCCCUUGCCUUUAUCAUUGCUAGCUUGAUGGCCACUGCAGUAUCCAUGAGAAUGUUCCCUGUGCUAUAUUCCUUUACUGCCCAUGUAGCUAGCACUUGAUCAUUUCCCCUCACUGCCACUAUGCCUAUUCCCAUCUGACUUGCUUUUCUCUGAGUGUCAAAAGCUAGGCAAAUGGUUAUAGGACUUUCAGUACUUGUGGUUACUGCCUGCUGCACUACAGCUUCUGUUGUUUUUGGAAUGCUCAUCUGGUUCUUCUUCUUAUUAAUGUACCUAAUUUGUUAUCAUUUCUAUGUUUCCCUAGAAAAUGUCAAACUUCGAUUAAGGACAAAUUAAUAGAAAUUGAAAGUAAUUCGAAGAUUAAGUGACUAAAUCUAGAUGGCCAAAAUCUGCUUUCUUUGAGUAUAAUGCAUAACAUUACUUCAGUUGUCUUAUAGUAAUUGAAUUGCUUUCAUUAUUGUGCAAUAAGUUAUGAUGAAUAAGAAAAAUUCACUGGUACAGUCCAAGAAUAGAGUUGACCGCAUGGUGUGAACAGGAGUAGAUCCCAACGUAUUGGGCUGGGGGCCUACUUUUCUUCGGUGUUGGCAUUUGACAGUGAAGCAGAAAGAAAGUAUGAUGUCUAGCCAACCGAUGUCUAAAGUUGGUUGAUGACUUUAGAAGCAAAUGUCAUUGAUCAUGCUCUUCAUUCUAGCGUUUACCACUUUCUUCUUCUUUUCCCAAGUGCAUUUCACCAUUGACCACUUUCGUAUUGCAGGUUUUACUAGCAGCAGGUACCGAUACAUCAGUGGGAACUAUGGAGUGGGCAUUGUCACUAAUGCUGAACAAUCCAUCAACUUUGGAGAAGGCACAAGCAGAAAUUGACAGAAUCAUAGGAAAAGAACGUUUAUUAGAUGAAUCAGAUGUGGCUAAUCUAUCCUAUCUCCGGUGCAUAAUUAGUGAAACAUUGAGGAUGUUUCCAGCAGGGCCUUUAUUAAUUCCCCACGAAUCCUCCGAGGAAUGUGUGGUUGGGGGUUACCGUGUCCCUGGGGGGACAAUGUUGAUGGUCAAUUUGUGGGCUAUCCAAAAUGAUUCCAAGAAUUGGGAGGAUCCAAGAAAAUUCAAGCCUGAAAGAUUUGAAGGGCUUGAAGGGACUAGAGAUGGCUACAAAUUAAUGCCUUUUGGUUCUGGUAGAAGAGGUUGUCCUGGGGAGGGAUUGGCCAUGCGCAUGGUUGGAUUUGCUUUGGGAUCAAUUAUUCAGUGCUUUGAUUGGAGCAGAAUCAGCGAGGAGAUGGUAGAUUUAGCUGAGGGGCCUGGACUGACUAUGCCUAAAGCUCAACCCUUAGUCGCCAACUGUCAAGCACGACCUGGAAUGAUCAGUCUUCUUUCUCAAAUUUAGACUGCGACGAGGAUGUAUCUUGACUCUUGAGAAAGGGUGGGCACUAUUUUCCGCGUCUAAUUCUUGUUUGAAGAAAAAAUAUGUACUAGUAAAAAAAAAUCUUGUUUUAUAUAUUUCGCUUGUUUCUUUAAGGGAAAAAAAUGAUGGAGUAAUUUACUUUAUAGUAGUUGGUAUUUGAUGACGCCAAUUUUUAAAUUUCCUUGUUUUAAGUUGGAAUUUUCACAGCACAAUAAUUAUACCUUGCAACUCCUAACCGAAAAUGACUCAACCAUAUAUUUAUUCAUUCCCCUAAUGUCCA